AGUGAAGGGCUGCCCAAUCUUCAUUCAUUAAACAUCCAAGUCAUAGAACCUAGACCGAGACUAACAAUCAUCCAACCUCUUCACAAAUCUAUUGGCAGAAGGUGGUUCGCACGCUCGUUAAAGUCGGAUCAAGAAGUUUGUUAAGGAAACUACUAAGCUUUUGAGGUUGAGCGUUGAUGAGGACGGAGGAUGUUGAGCACUGUAUUCAAUAAAUGU